UACGAAGGGUGCUAGCGUUGUUCGGAAUUACUGGGCGUAAAGGGCGCGUAGGCGGACAUCUAAGUCAGGGGUGAAAUCCCAGGGCUCAACCCUGGAAUUGCCUUUGAUACUGGACGUCUCGAGUUCGGGAGAGGUGAGUGGAAUUCCGAGUGUAGAGGUGAAAUUCGUAGAUAUUCGGAGGAACACCAGAAGCGAAGGCGGCUCACUGGCCCGACACUGACGCUGAGGAGCGAAAGCCAGGGGAGCAAACGGG
rnacentral:rRNA from 1 species